CACAAAGCUGCGAGUGAAACAACAUAGGAGCAGAACUCUCUCGAGAAUAUCGGCGCUCUCUCUCUCUACAAAUUAAAUUAGGUUUUCAUCUAAAAUUUCAUCAAAAUCAAAACCGCUCAAAUCAAAAUGUGAAUCUCAUUUGUCAGGAAUACCAAAAGAAUCACACAGAAAGAAUCAUUUGAAGCGUAUUUGGUGUUGUUAUGGUUGAUUCUCGGUCUUGAUAGAAUCUCACCUAUCUCUUUUCCUCGGUAAGUUAAAAUCAUUUUCUUGAGAGACGUUUUACAUGUCGGCAUUCAAUUCAGUUUGAAUUAUUAUAUGAGCUUUUUAUGUUCUUUCAGUUAUGUCCUCGUACCAGUUAGAUCUCGACUUUGAUAUCGCAAUAAUGUGAUUUUCUCUUCCUAGGAUUUGAAAGGGAGUUGUUUUCAGGCCUUGCCAUAGUUCUGUUAUUAUUGCGUUUGAUAUGAAGUUUGAAAAGAAUUGCAAAGGAGCAGUUUAUUAAAUA